CGUACUUUUGUUUGGAAAACCGGAGUAUGUAUAUAAAUAAUACUGAUUUGAAACAUGUUAUUCAUAAAUACAUGGAAUUAUAUACAAUAUGGUUUACUUGUUCUUUACAUCAUAUUCCUCAUCAGUUCAUUUGUAUUUCAUCAUUUGCGUAUACCUAAAUCUAAAGUACUUGUUUUCUGUAUUUGCAUACAGUGUGGAAAUGAGAGGACUUUUGGCACAUGAGAUGAUGCAUGCAUGGUUGUACCUUCAAGGAGGUAGGCCAUGGAAAUGGGAAAGAAGCGUUGAAGAAGGUAUUUGCCAAGUAAUGUAUUAUAAAUGGUUGCAAUGGUUUUCUUCUAGAGGUUUUAACUCUUCGCACAAAACCGAUGAGCAAUUAAGUUCACCAUACCAGAAAGUUGAAAGAGAUCUUGUCACAGAAGACUGAAUGGCGGGAAGACGAAGUUUAUGUCAAGGAUUUAGAACUGCUAUGCGUGCCAUUGAAACAUUUGGGUUCAAAUUAAACUACGCUGGAUCAUGCCGUUAAAGAUGGAACUCUGCUGGUGGUUCCACCGGUAGUGAUGAGGAAUAAAACCACCGCCGCCUCCACUGAGUCAAUGAGGAAGAAGACCACUUCAGCUCCAAUAACUGAGUUGUUAUGGAAGGCGACUAGCAGCACAACUAAAUCAUUAUGGAAGGGCGGAAGGCCACUGCUGCAACAAUUACCAACUUAUUAUGGAAGGUCACCAUCACCUGCGAAACACCGCGAUUUGUUACUAUGGAAGGCCACCGCCACCACCACCACCACUAUCAUCAGGGACAAAGCCAUAACAACAAUUGCAUGCUCCCAUGUCCGCAUCUCCUACCCUCCUUGUAUUUAUUGGUAUAUUGAUUGAACACAAGUGAGGAACUAUAAUAAUCUAGUCUAUAAUGUCAGUAAUUGAACGUUAAUAGAGGGAAGUAGUUUAGGGUCUUCCAUUUAGUUUGGUAAUUCUUUCCGGAAACUGAAAUGCCUAGAAAGUCAUUGCACUCAAAACUGCCAUGAGGAAGACUGAAUCAACGCAGCCUAUUUACUGUCGUCGCUCCUUUUUAUCACUAUGUAAACGACAUAAGAAAAACCUGAGAUGUAGGAUUUGUAUUUAAAAAUCCGUACCUUUAAUGUUGGUAUUGCUCAAGUCAACAAACUUCAUA